rnacentral:rRNA from 1 species
CUACGUAGGGUGCGAGCGUUGUCCGGAAUUACUGGGCGUAAAGAGCUCGUAGGUGGUUUGUCGCGUCGUCUGUGAAAUUCCGGGGCUUAACUCCGGGCGUGCAGGCGAUACGGGCAUAACUUGAGUACUGUAGGGGAGACUGGAAUUCCUGGUGUAGCGGUGAAAUGCGCAGAUAUCAGGAGGAACACCGGUGGCGAAGGCGGGUCUCUGGGCAGUAACUGACGCUGAGGAGCGAAAGCAUGGGUAGCGAACAGGAUUAGAUACCCUGGUAGUCCUGGCCGUAAACGGUGGGCGCUAGGUGUAGGGGUCUUCCACGACUUCUGUGCCGUAGCUAACGCAUUAAGCGCCCCGCCUGGGGAGUACGGCCGCAAGGCUAAAACUCAAAGGAAUUGACGGGG